CCUUGGAAUCCACACAAUCAACUCCCAAUAUUUGCUUAAGAUCAUUUUAAAUGGUCUUUUCUUGGGAGCAACACAAAGGGUCCUCAAUUAACAAAUGUUUUGGCACACAAAGAUGAAAACUUAAUGUCAGUUGCAGACAUUUGCAAAAAGAAAUAUUACUGUAUAUUUCAACAAGAAGAAAAAUGAACUCUAAAAGAAAGAAUAGAACCAAGAAACAAUGAUGAAUGGACCAUCUGGGUUGGUAAGCCUAGUGUGAAAUAUAAAAACAUCGAAUUGUUAAAGCUUCCAGGGCCAACUAGUCUCUGCUUCCCCACCUCUUGGAGUGGCCACACCUUCCUGGCAGCACCAAUGAACAGAGAUCUCCUCUUGACUUCCUGAAGAUUCAUUGCAGUGUCACCUUUCCUGGGACCCAGCUGAGAAGAGUAAUUCUGGCUCUUCUAGGCUGCUGCUGUGACCUGGGGUACGUAAAUACGGCAUUUGUCACAGUGUGGUUGCGAUUAUGCACUUCUGUGUCAUUUCUGCAGUCCUUGACGGUGGGGAAUAAAAAUGCAGUGGCUGGCCAUACCGUA